rnacentral:tRNA from 1 species
GUAUAGCUCAGUGACAGAGCACAUGCCUAGCAUGCAUAAGACCCUGGGUUUGAUUCCUGGUAC